rnacentral:rRNA from 1 species
AGUGAACGCUGGCGGUAGGCCUAACACAUGCAAGUCGAACGGCAGCACAGUAAGAGCUUGCUCUUACGGGUGGCGAGUGGCGGACGGGUGAGGAAUACAUCGGAAUCUACUUUUUCGUGGGGGAUAACGUAGGGAAACUUACGCUAUUACCGCAUACGACCUACGGGUGAAAGCAGGGGAUCUUCGGACCUUGCGCGAUUGAAUGAGCCGAUGUCGGAUUAGCUAGUUGGCGGGGUAAAGGCCCACCAAGGCGACGAUCCGUAGCUGGUCUGAGAGGAUGAUCGGCCACACUGGAGCGGAGACACGGUCCAGACUCCUACGGGAGGCAGCAGUGGGGAAUAUUGGACAAUGGGCGCAAGCCUGAUCCAGCCAUACCGCGUGGGUGAAGAAGGCCUUCGGGUUGUAAAGCCCUUUUGUUGGGAAAGAAAAGCAGCAGGUUAAUACCCCGCUGUUCUGACGGUACCCAAAGAAUAAGCACCGGCUAACUUCGUG